rnacentral:rRNA from 1 species
GACGAACGCUGGCGGCGUGCUUAACACAUGCAAGUCGAACGGAAAGGCCCUGCUUUUGUGGGGUGCUCGAGUGGCGAACGGGUGAGUAACACGUGAGUAACCUGCCCUUGACUUUGGGAUAACUUCAGGAAACUGGGGCUAAUACCGGAUAGGAGCUCCUGCUGCAUGGUGGGGGUUGGAAAGUUUCGGCGGUUGGGGAUGGACUCGCGGCUUAUCAGCUUGUUGGUGGGGUAGUGGCUUACCAAGGCUUUGACGGGUAGCCGGCCUGAGAGGGUGACCGGCCACAUUGGGACUGAGAUACGGCCCAGACGCCUACGGGAGGCAGCAGUGGGGAAUAUUGCACAAUGGGCGGAAGCCUGAUGCAGGAACGCCGCGUGCGGGAUGACGGCCUUCGGGUUGUAAACCGCUUUCGCCUGUGACGAAGCGUGAGUGACGGUAAGGGGUAAAGAAGCACCGGCUAACUACG